rnacentral:lncRNA from 12 species
AAGUAAUUACUAGAAAAUUCUGGGAGACAGGUAACACUCUGGUGCUUUCUCCUGGCAUUGCUACAGGCCAAAGAGAGCUUGGCUAAUGCACAUCACUGAAAAAUUGGCUCCAUACCAAUACCAUGCACCUUGAGCUCCCCACCUGACCUGUGCUAUUCAGCCAGAAAUUACUAUGGAAAGCUUUGAAGAGAGAAUGAGGUUUUUCUGUGGAGUGCAAAGGCGCUCAGACAAGCCCAUCACCGCUCCCAUGGCCAAGUUCUGGGCACUCCUCUGCACAGCAUACAGCCAUUCCUCACUGUUUCCAGCCUGUUCUUCCUGAAGACACUGUGCCCAUUGUGGCAGCUGUCCAGAGCUGUCAACUUCCCCAGCAUGUCUCUGUAAGUGAAAAGAAAUCACAAUUCUGCAGUUGUGCGGGGGCUGGCAG